rnacentral:rRNA from 1 species
AGGUUUCCGUAGGUGAACCUGUGAAAGGAUCAUUGCCGAGACCCA